GUGCCAGCAGCCGCGGUAAGACGAACCGUCCUAACGUUGUUCGGAAUCACUGGGCUUAAAGGGCGCGUAGGCGGCCCUUCGAGUCGGGGGUGAAAUCCCACGGCCCAACCGUGGAAGGGCCUCCGAUACUGAAGGGCUCGAGGGAGGUAGGGGCAGGUGGAACUUCCGGUGGAGCGGUGAAAUGCGUUGAUAUCGGAAGGAACGCCGGUGGCGAAAGCGACCUGCUGGACCUCUUCUGACGCUGAGGCGCGAAAGCCAGGGGAGCGAACGGGAUUAGAAACCCGCGUAGUCC
rnacentral:rRNA from 1 species